rnacentral:rRNA from 1 species
GAUAAACGCUGGCGGCGUGCCUAAUACAUGCAAGUCGAACGAGCAAUAACUAGCUUGCUAGUUGGCGCGAGUGGCGAACGGGUGAGUAAUACGUAAGCAACCUACCUACAAGGACUGGGAUAACUCCUGGAAACGGGCGCUAAUACCGGAUAGGUAAUGAUGGGGCAUCCUAACAUUAUUAAAGGUUUGAAAUACAAGUAGAUGGGCUUACGGUGCAUUAGCUUGUUGGUGAGGUAACGGCCCACCAAGGCGAUGAUGCAUAGCCGGCCUGAGAGGGUGAACGGCCACAUUGGGACUGAGACACGGCCCAGACUCC